rnacentral:piRNA from 1 species
UCCUAUGUAGUGCACAUUAACUCUUAAUAAA